rnacentral:rRNA from 1 species
AUCUUCGGCAAUGGGCGAAAAGCCCGACCGAGCGACGCCGCGUGGGGGAAGACGGUCUUCGGAACGUCCACCCCUGUCCUUGUGGACGAAGGUGACGGCACUCAAUGAGGAACCCCCGCCUAACUACUCGCCAGCAGCCGCGGUAAUACGUAGGGUGCGAGCGUUGUCCGGAAUUAGUGGGCGUAAAGGGUACGUAGGCGGCUAUAUAAGUCAGGUGUGAAAUACCAGUGCUUAACACUGGAAUUGCAUUUGAAACUGUGUAGCUUGAGUGCAGGAGAGGAAAGUGGAAUUCCUAGUGUAGCGGUGAAAUGCGUAGAGAUUAGGAGGUACACCAGUGGCGAAGGCGACUUUCUGGACUGUAACUGACGCUGAGGUACGAAAGCGUGGGUAGCGAAC